rnacentral:rRNA from 1 species
GACGGGGGAUGCAAGCGUUAUCCGGAAUCACUGGGCGUAAAGCGUCUGUAGGUGGUGAUGCAAGUCACUGGUGCAAAACUCUGGCUCAACCGGAGGAAAGCCAGUGAAACUGCAUGACUAGAGUGUGGGAGAGGUAGAAGGAAUUCCCUGAGUAGCGGUGAAAUGCGUAGAUACAGGGAAGAACACCGGAGGCGAAAGCGUUCUACUGGAACGCAACUGACACUGAGAGACGGAAGCCAAGGGAGCUAAUGGG